GGCUUGGUGGCGUAAUGGUAACACACUCCGUGUCCUUUAUGCAGCGUUCGUAUAUUGUUUGACAGAAAGUCCGGAGUUUGAUUCUCCGUCAAGCCA